UCUUCGUAAACGUAACCAGAACUGUGGCAUCUGUUAACUCUUAUCCAUUGUUAAUUCCUAUCACCAUUUUCACUUCAAGAAAAUGCUUCUUUCAUGUCAAAACCACACUCUUUACCUUCCUUCUUCUUCCAUCCAUUCCGUCAAGAAUUCGAAAUCCAACAUUAUCAUCAAUUGCCAAACCCCAAACGAACAAAACCAACCCAUUCCCAGAAGACACAAUUCAAAAUCCACUUCAUUUCUCAUCCACCACCUUUCACACAAAAACAGCGACAAUCAUCACUCUUCACCCACUGAGCUACAAGACCCAAUACCGCAUGAAGAAAAAGUGAAGCUUUUAGAACUUUCCUUAGUGAGGAAAAGAACCCCACAAUUUCCUGGUUCAAUUUAUGCUCAAUCCCCUAGUGACUCUGAUGUGGGUUCUUCUCUUCCUCCUCUUCGUACGCUUUUUAGAUCGCGUGAUGAAGAAGAAGAGGUCUUAAUCAUGAAAGCUCUUGAAAUUCGUAGGAAGGUUACGGAAGAGGUUUUCAAAGAACAAAUGAGAAAGGGUAAAUUUGGAAUUACUUAUACAGACAAUUUGGUUUCUAAGUUGGGUGGUUUUGUUGAUUAUGUUAUGAUUGAAGCUGCUAACUUGAAAAGAUUGCCUCAAUAUUCUCACUCUACUUUCAAUUUACGCGCCAAAACUGUUAUUGAAGAUUCCCAAGUUGUACAACUUAUUAGAUGGUUGAAACAUAAUUCUCUAUCGUAUCCUCAGAUAGCUAAGCUCGUUUUGAUGUCAAGGGGGAAACUUGAGUCCAUUAGGAACCGUAUUGAGUGGUUGAAGUCGGUGCAUGUUAAGGGAGACUUUAUUGGGGAUGCAAUGUUGAAGGGUGGAGAUAAUGUUUUGCUGCGGAGUGAUCGGGAGCUUGAUGAGAUUGUUGAGUGUUUAGAAUCCAAUGGUGUAAGGAGGGAAUGGAUGGGUUAUGUUGUGAGUCGGUGUCCGAAGUUGUUAUCUUACAGCUUGGAAGAAGUGAAGAUUCGUGUGCAGUUCUAUCUGGAUAUGGGUUUAGAUGAGAAGGAUUUUGGCACAAUGGUUUUCGAUUUUCCUAAAGCACUUGGUUACUAUACAAUUGAAGAAAUGAACCGAAAGGUUGAUUACUUGAAAGAAUUCGGGCUUGAUAAUAAGGAUGUCGGUAAGUUGCUUGCAUUUAGGCCACAGUUGAUGGCGUGCAGCAUUGAAGAACGAUGGAAACCUCUUGUUAAGUAUCUGUACUAUUAUGGGAUUACUCGAGAUGGGAUGAAGAGAAUGCUUAUCAUUAAACCAAUGGUCUUUUGUUUUGACUUGGAGAUAACUAUUGUGCCAAAGGUAAAGUUUUUUCAGGACCUAGGGGUUCGAAACGACGGGAUUGCUAACAUGCUUGUAAAAUUUCCUACUCUACUCACUUACAGCCUUUACAAAAAGAUUAGGCCUGUGGUCAUAUUCUUGAUGACCAAGGCUGGAGUCACUGAAGAAUCUAUUGGAAAGGUUGUAGCUCUUGGACCUGAGCUCUUGGGAUGCAGCAUAGUACAUAAGCUCGAAGUAAAUGUAAAAUAUUAUUUGUCUCUUGGCAUUCGUCUUCGGCAACUGGGUGAAAUGGUCGCUGAUUUCCAAAUGCUGCUGAGAUACAAUAUAGAUGUUCUUCGUCCUAAGUAUACGUAUUUGCGGAAAACCAUGGUCCGAACUUUGCAAGAUCUAAUUGAAUUUCCGAGGUUUUUCAGCUAUUCUCUCGAGGGUCGAAUAAUCCCAAGACACAAGGUUCUGGUGGAGAAUCAGAUAAAUGUCAAACUAAAAUGCAUGUUAGCUUGUACUGAUGAAGAGUUUAACAAAAUGGUCAACAAUAUGAUUCGAAAACGCCACAAGUUCCAAUCUACUGUCAUGAAGGGGGAUACUCCGCAUUCCCAAUCUCUUGUUACUGGGGAUAUUACUGCACCCCAGACUUAAGCAAAACUGAUGGCUCUGUGGGAAACAAAAGUGAUUAAGUUUCGAGAAGUAAAGCAAUGUAGUAGCUUUGUCUUAUUAACUUCAUCGGUCAGACUAGUAAUUAUCAUAAAAUCGUGAUUAUUUUUCUCAAACACGGGGUGCUAAAUGACUAUGUAACAGCUGGUAUAGUGCUGGAGAAACAUCGGAGUAAAGGAGCGCUCUGUCAUGGUUAAAAAAAAAAGCUUGCAAUUUGUCAUCCACUGCAACACUUGUGAAAAUAGAAUUGCUGCAGAAUGUGCCAAUGAAACAUGCCACUGUGAAGUGUGCCAAUGAACAGAAUUGUGGAGAACCCCUGUGUACUUCUUGCAAUGUCAGAGAUGUUUAAGGAACAUAGGAACUUUGACUGACAAAUAAUUGUGAUUAACAUUCUUGGCUCGAGUUCUAUAUACUGGUUGAACAUCAAACUCAACCUAUCUCCAGAAAGAUCAACACUCAAAUUUAUAUAUGAAACUCUUUUAAAUAUAUCUUGCUCAGGAUAUCUGUGAACAGCAGUAUUGCUACUCUGAGUACACAAAGUUCAUCGAUCCGCUGCUUUUUAUAAGGUGAACAAUGUUCUAUGCUAGUGAAAUUAUAUUUGCGGAAGACUAUGGUCGCGCCAUUCCAAGAAACCUUCAUUCUCAAAGCAUCAUAAACCUUUGUUGACUUAAGAUAGUUUGUUAAGAUAUGUUACAGAUUAAUCAUUUAAUCAUUUUAAUCUAUAAAUAACAUGGCUAUCUAGGAUUAUGUUUUUUCAAUCAGUUCUGGAUUAUUCCAGUGUGUAAUAUUUUUAUGAGGCAAGUCGCAUUAGUAAAAGGAUUAUUCUUCUGUGACAUUUUGUAUUCAUCCUCUAGUUCAAUGGCU